UGGGGAAUAUUGCACAAUGGGCGCAAGCCUGAUGCAGCCAUGCCGCGUGUGUGAAGAAGGCCUUCGGGUUGUAAAGCACUUUCAGCGAGGAGGAAGGUGGUGAGCUUAAUACGCUCAUCAAUUGACGUUACUCGCAGAAGAAGCACCGGCUAACUCCGUGCCAGCAGCCGCGGUAAUACGGAGGGUGCAAGCGUUAAUCGGAAUUACUGGGCGUAAAGCGCACGCAGGCGGUUUGUUAAGUCAGAUGUGAAAUCCCCGGGCUCAACCUGGGAACUGCAUUUGAAACUGGCAAGCUAGAGUCUCGUAGAGGGGGGUAGAAUUCCAGGUGUAGCGGUGAAAUGCGUAGAGAUCUGGAGGAAUACCGGUGGCGAAGGCGGCCCCCUGGACGAAGACUGACGCUCAGGUGCGAAAGCGUGGGGCAGCAAACAGGAUUAGAUACCCUGGUAGUCCACGCUGUAAACGAUGUCGAUUCGGAGGUUGUGCCCUUGAGGCGUGGCUUCCGGAGCUAACGCGUUAAAUCGACCGCCU
rnacentral:rRNA from 1 species